rnacentral:rRNA from 1 species
AGUGAACGCUGGCGGUAGGCCUAACACAUGCAAGUCGAACGGCAGCACAGUAAGAGCUUGCUCUUACGGGUGGCGAGUGGCGGACGGGUGAGGAAUACAUCGGAAUCUACUUUUUCGUGGGGGAUCACGUAGGGAAACUUACGCUAAUACCGCAUACGACCUACGGGUGAAAGCAGGGGAUCUUCGGACCUUGCGCGAUUGAAUGAGCCGAUGUCGGAUUAGCUAGUUGGCGGGGUAAAGGCCCACCAAGGCGACGAUCCGUAGCUGGUCUGAGAGGAUGAUCAGCCACACUGGAACUGAGACACGGUCAAGACUCCUACGGGAGGCAGCAGUGGGGAAUAUUGGACAAUGGGCGCAAGCCUGAUCCAGCCAUACCGCGUGGGUGAAGAAGGCCUUCGGGUUGUAAAGCCCUUUUGUUGGGAAAGAAAAGCAGCAGGUUAAUACCCCGCUGUUCUGACGGUACCCAAAGAAUAAGCACCGGCUAACUUCGUG